GAACGCACAUUGCGCCCCUUGGUUAUUCCGAAGGGCAUGCCUGUUCGAGCGUCAUUAUCACCCCUCAAGCCCUGGCUUGGUGUUGGACUUUAGUUAUAGCUUUGCCUAUCAACUGGUCUCAAAGAUAGUGACGGCGCCCCAGAGGGAACCGGGUACGAGGAGCUUUUUACUAAGCAUGUAUCUGGGACGACUCUGAUGGGCGACGGUCUUGUUAUACUUUUUACCUAGUGUUGACCUCGGAUCAGGUAGGAAUACCCGCUGAACUUAAG
rnacentral:misc_RNA from 1 species